rnacentral:rRNA from 1 species
AUGCACGCUGGCGGCGUGCCUCAUACAUGCCAGUCGAGCGCACAGACGAGGAGCUUGCUCCUCUGACGUUAGCGGCGGACGGGUGAGUAACACGUGGAUAACCUACCUAUAAGACUGGGAUAACUUCGGGAAACCGGAGCUAAUACCGGAUAAUAUAUUGAACCGCAUGGUUCAAUAGUGAAAGACGGUUUUGCUGUCACUUAUAGAUGGAUCCGCGCCGCAUUAGCUAGUUGGUAAGGUAACGGCUUACCAAGGCAACGAUGCGUAGCCGACCUGAGAGGGUGAUCGGCCACACUGGAACUGAGACACGGUCCAGACUCCUACGGGAGGCAGCAGUAGGGAAUCUUCCGCAAUGGGCGAAAGCUUGACGGAGCAACGCCGCGUGAGUGAGGAAGGUCUUCGGAUCGUAAAACUCUGUUAUUAGGGAAGAACAAAUGUGUAAGUAACGAUGCACGUCUUGACGGUACCUAAUCAGAAAGCCACGGCUAACUGCGU